UUAAGGUUUGGGAAAAUAUUAAGUAUCACAUAAAGUGACAAAUUUAAUACAAUACUUUAUGCUAAUGGAAAUAAUUGAAUAUGAGCAUGCUUAAUUUGGUGACAUUUUCUUUUUCUUUGGGGCUAUAAAUGCCCAUGUACUUGUUUGUAGUUUAUAUUUUAAACAUAAAAUAGUGGAAGUCAUGUUUAAUUAAAUAAUUUAUAAUUAAUAGAUCAUUUUAUAGGUGUUUAAGAAUUUAUAAUUAUAGGUACUUGUUUGUGUUUUGCUGAUGAUUUGAUGAUUUUUAGUGUUGGGGAUCACACCUCUUUAGUGUUUAUCCAAUACGUUUUGAGAUAGAGAUUAGUUGAACUUGGUAUCAAUUAUGGUAAAAGUUCAAUGAUCAAUGUUGGCAUGAUGUCUAUUGGUUAAGGCUGAAAGCUUACCACCUCAAGCGCAAAGGCAUUAGAUGAGAGUGUCCAAGGUGCUCCUGUCCAUCCUCUUCAUGUGAUUAAUUUGGAUAUUCGGAUGGAAAUUUUUGUGUUGUUCUAAGAAGGAGCUAUUACUUUGAGAGAAGUGUGUGAAUUGUUCUUUUAAAACCUUUUUCUUUUAAGUUGUGUGUUGUGUUGUUUGCCUUUUGAAUUAAGUAGUUGUUUUGUUCUGUUGAUUUUUGUUUUGUUAGUAUCUUGACCUGACCUUAGGCUGUGAUAUCCCUCUUUCCAUUUUACAUUAAGUACUUUUGCAAAAAAAUUGUAUAGUUUUUACGAUGUUACUAGUUAGAUUUAAAAGGAAAUUAAAAUUUUAGUUAAUAUUGAUAAAAUAUAAUUAUAUAAUUAGUGGGUUACAAUAAUUGACCACAAUACUUCCAUAGUUAUUUAAUUUUAUAGAAAUUACAAAUAGAUCUUCCACUAUUAUAUUCUCG
rnacentral:lncRNA from 1 species